UGGGGAAUCUUGCGCAAUGCACGAAAGUGUGACGCAGCAACGCCGCGUGGGGGAAGAAGGCCUUCGGGUUGUAAACCCCUUUCAGGAGGGACGAAGCCUGGCCGGUGAACAGCCGGUCCAGGUGACGGUACCUCCACAAGAAGCCUCGGCUAACUACGUGCCAGCAGCCGCGGUAAUACGUAGGGGGCAAGCGUUGUCCGGAAUCAUUGGGCGUAAAGAGCGCGUAGGCGGUCCGGUAAGUCGGUUGUGAAAGUCGGGGGCUCAACCCUCGGAGGCCGACCGAUACUGUCGGGCUAGAGUCCGGAAGAGGCGAGUGGAAUUCCUGGUGUAGCGGUGAAAUGCGCAGAUAUCAGGAGGAACACCAAUGGCGAAGGCAGCUCGCUGGGACGGUACUGACGCUGAGGCGCGAAAGCGUGGGGAGCAAACAGGAUUAGAUACCCUGGUAGUCCACGCCGUAAACGAUGGACACUAGGUGUGGGAGGUGUCGACUCCUCCCGUGCCGCAGCUAACGCAUUAAGUGUCCCGCCUGGGGAGUACGGCCGCAAGGCUAA
rnacentral:rRNA from 1 species